rnacentral:rRNA from 1 species
CUACGGGGCGCUGCAGUGAGGAAUAUUGCACAAUGGGGGGAACCCUGAUGCAGCAAAGCCGCGUGGAGGAUGACGCAUUUCGGUGUGUAAACUCCUUUUAUAUGUCAAGAAAAUGACGGUAGCAUAUGAAUAAGCACCGGCUAACUCCGUGCCAGCAGCCGCGGUAAUACGGAGGGUGCAAGCGUUACUCGGAAUCACUGGGCGUAAAGGACGCGUAGGCGGGUUGGAAAGUCAGGUGUGAAAUCCUACAGCUUAACUGUAGAACUGCACUUGAAACUUCUAAUCUAGAGGAUGGGAGGGGGAGAUGGAAUUAGUGGUGUAGGGGUAAAAUCCGUAGAUAUCACUAGGAAUACCUAAAGCGAAGGCGAUCUCCUGGAACAUUACUGACGCUAAGGCGUGAAAGCGUGGGGAGCAAACAGGAUUAGAUACCCCCGUAGUC